GGCGAGAUGGCCGAGCGGUCUAAGGCGCCAGACUAAGGUGUUGUAGUGGAAUUUGAAGCUACUCAUUUAUCUGGUCCGAAAGGGCGUGGGUUCGAAUCCCACUCUCGUCA
rfam:Trametes versicolor FP-101664 SS1 unplaced genomic scaffold TRAVEscaffold_6, whole genome shotgun sequence.